GCAAGCGUUGUCCGGAAUUAUUGGGCGUAAAGGGCUCGCAGGCGGUUCCUUAAGUCUGAUGUGAAAGCCCCCGGCUCAACCGGGGAGGGUCAUUGGAAACUGGGGAACUUGAGUGCAGAAGAGGAGAGUGGAAUUCCACGUGUAGCGGUGAAAUGCGUAGAGAUGUGGAGGAACGCCAGUGGCGAAGGCGACUCUCUGGUCUGUAACUGACGCUGAGGAGCGAAAGCGUGGGGAGCGAACAGGAUUAGAUACCCUGGUAGUCCACGCCGUAAACGAUGAGUGCUAAGUGUUAGGGGGUUUCCGCCCCUUAGUGCUGCAGCUAACGCAUUAAGCACUCCGCCUGGGGAGUACGGUCGCAAGACUGAAACUCAAAGGAAUUGACGGGGGCCCGCACAAGCGGUGGAGCAUGUGGUUUAAUUCGAAGCAACGCGAAGAACCUUACCAGGUCUUGACAUCCUCUGACAAUCCUAGAGAUAGGACGUCCCCUUCGGGGGCAGAGUG
rnacentral:rRNA from 1 species